AGCAGCCGCGGUAAUUCCAGCUCCAAUAGCGUAUAUUAAAGUUGUUGCAGUUAAAAAGCUCGUAGUUGAAUUUCGGGACCAAUUUGUUGGUCGUGCCUCGGUACGUACUGGUAUUAUUGGUUUCUCCCUUCUGAAGAACCUCGAUGCCAUUAAUUUGGUGUCGUGGGGAAUCAGGACUGUUACUUUGAAAAAUUAGAGUGUUUAAAGACAAGACAUACGCUUGAAUACAUUAGCAUGGAAUAAUGAAAUAGGACGUUUGAUUCUAUUUUGUUGGUUUCUAGGUAUCGACGUAAUGAUUAAUAGGGAUAGUUGGGGGCAUUAGUAUUCAAUUGUCAGAGGUGAAAUUCUUGGAUUUAUUGAAGACUAACUACUGCGAAAGCAUUUGCCAAGGAUGUUUCAUUAAUCAAGAACGAAAGUUAGGGGAUACGAAGACGAUACAGAUACCGUCGUAGUCUUAACCAUAAACUAUCG
rnacentral:rRNA from 1 species